AUUGAACGCUGGCGGCAUGCCUUACACAUGCAAGUCGAACGGCAGCACGGGAGCAAUCCUGGUGGCGAGUGGCGAACGGGUGAGUAAUAUAUCGGAACGUGCCCAGUCGUGGGGAUAACGUAGCGAAAGCUACGCUAAUACCGCAUACGAUCUAUGGAUGAAAGCGGGGGAUCGCAAGACCUCGCGCGAUUGGAGCGGCCGAUAUCAGAUUAGGUAGUUGGUGAGGUAAAGGCUCACCAAGCCGACGAUCUGUAGCUGGUCUGAGAGGACGACCAGCCACACUGGGACUGAGACACGGCCCAGACUCCUACGGGAGGCAGCAGUGGGGAAUUUUGGACAAUGGGCGCAAGCCUGAUCCAGCAAUGCCGCGUGCAGGAUGAAGGCCUCGGUGUAACUGCUUUGUUACGGUAACGAACGGUAGAG
rnacentral:rRNA from 1 species